GUGCUCACUUCAGCAACACACAUGCUAAAAAUUGGAGCAGUACAGAAAAGGUGAACAUGGCCCCUGCACAAGAGUGACGUGCAGAUUCACAAAGUGUUUAAUACUUUU
ensembl:snRNA U6 U6 spliceosomal RNA